UCGCAGUUUGCACUGGCAGUCUCGUUAGAGUUCCCGACACGACUCGCUGGCAACUAACGACAGGGGUUGCGCUCGUUAUAGGACUUAACCUGACACCUCACGGCACGAGCUGACGACAACCAUGCAGCACCUUGUAAAUUGUCUUGCGAAAGUUCUGUUUCCAAAACGGUCAAUCUACAUUUAAGCCUUGGUAAGGUUCCUCGCGUAUCAUCGAAUUAAACCACAUGCUCCACCGCUUGUGCGGGCCCCCGUCAAUUCCUUUGAGUUUCAUUCUUGCGAACGUACUCCCCAGGUGGGAUACUUAUCACUUUCGCUUAGCCACUCAGGAGUGAUCCCGAACAGCUAGUAUCCAUCGUUUACGGCGUGGACUAC
rnacentral:misc_RNA from 1 species